AUUGAACGCUGGCGGCAUGCCUUACACAUGCAAGUCGAACGGCAGCACGGGAGCAAUCCUGGUGGCGAGUGGCGAACGGGUGAGUAAUAUAUCGGAACGUGCCCGGUCGUGGGGAUAACGUAGCGAAAGCUACGCUAAUACCGCAUACGAUCUACGGAUGAAAGCGGGGGGAUCGCAAGACCUCGCGCGAUUGGAGCGGCCGAUAUCAGAUUAGGUAGUUGGUGAGGUAAAGGCUCACCAAGCCGACGAUCUGUAGCUGGUCUGAGAGGACGACCAGCCACACUGGGACUGAGACACGGCCCAGACUCCUACGGGAGGCAGCAGUGGGGGAAUUUUGGACAAUGGGCGCAAGCCUGAUCCAGCAAUGCCGCGUGCAGGAUGAAGGCCU
rnacentral:rRNA from 1 species